rnacentral:rRNA from 1 species
UGGGGAUGACGUCAAGUCAUCAUGGCCCUUACGACCAGGGCUACACACGUGCUACAAUGGCGCAUACAAAGAGAAGCGACCUCGCGAGAGCAAGCGGACCUCAUAAAGUGCGUCGUAGUCCGGAUUGGAGUCUGCAACUCGACUCCAUGAAGUCGGAAUCGCUAGUAAUCGUGGAUCAGAAUGCCACGGUGAAUACGUUCCCGGGCCUUGUACACACCGCCCGUCACACCAUGGGAGUGGGUUGCAAAAGAAGUAGGUAGCUUAACCUUCGGGAGGGCGCUUACCACUUUGUGAUUCAUGACUGGGGUGAAGUCGUAACAAGGUAACCGUAGGGGAACCUGCGGUUGGAUCACCUCCUU